AGUAUUCCUCCGCCUUAAUUUCAUAGGCGAAAAUGGCGUCUGCUGCGCGCUCCGCAGCGGUGAAGAUUGGAGCUCAUGUGAAAGAAAUUAGGAUUCAUCUUUGUCAGAAAUCAAGUGCCAGCCAAGGAGUCAGGGAAUUCAUUGAAAGCAGCUAUGUGCCAUUGAAGAGGGCAAAUCCAGACUUCCCAAUCCUGAUCAGGGAGUGCAGUGGCAUUCAUCCAAAGCUGUAUGCCAGAUACGCCUUUGGGAAGGAGAACGGCGUUCCUCUAACCAACAUGAGCAAGGACCAAGUCGCAACAACCCUGCAAACUCUAAUAAAGCAGUAGUUCCAUCUGAUUUAUAAGUGGCAAUGGGCGAUUGUAUACUAUUCGUGAAGUCAUGCUUGUUUGAGUUGUGGAUGAAAUAAAUGAUGGUACAUACAUUGUA